AUUCAGCUGACGAGUCCCAAACAGGACGAAACACGCGUCUUGGAU
rnacentral:hammerhead_ribozyme from 1 species